GAUUCCCCCCGCCGUGCCCCUUUCGUAGCUGACCAAAUUUGGGCUGCUUCCGGCUGUGACGGCGGGUAUCCCCCAUGCCUUAAAAGGACAGGCGGCAGAGCGACGUCGAGGAGCGGAGAGAAGGGUUUCCUUCACUGCGGCAGAGAGAGGUUAUACAACCGGCAGAGGACAGGAAACACGGAGGGAGACGCAGAUCGCGGGUUUGGCGCAUCAGAGACCCACAUUUGUUUAAUCUGUUGCAACAUUUGAGUUGGAGAUGCUCACAGCGAGCAGACACAGACAACGCGUGGAUUUCAAAGCACAAACAGCUGCUAAAUCACAGAAAAUGUCAACUAGAAAUCAUUUUUGCCUUCCUUAUGGCGCCCCCUCCAGUGGCGCCCGCUGAGUGCGGAUCACAACUUUUUGCGCCACCAGUUCAGCACUGCAGACACAUCUCUGGCCCAUAUGUGACAUUCCUGCACAGCCACAUGCAGCUGCUGGGAUGUGGUCGCCAUGGAGACAGAUGGAGGCUCCAGGCCGGCGUUACAUAAAAGGAGCUGGAUCAUCAGAACCUGCAGAACCUCCUGGUUCUGUUCGGAGCGUCGAGAUCGUCCUCUGAGAUUCACGUCGUUCUCAUCCUCCAUGGUUUCAGCAUCAGAGUGUUUGACCUGCAGGGAGAUUUUUUUAGCCGAGACGUUGAAGCAGCACCUGUUGUCACAGUUUUCCUGCCGCCUGAAAGAGCCGGACCAGAACCGCUGCGCUGGCCUCUCAACGCGCUAUAUCAGGACAGAUGAUGGGGAAAUGUGUGUGUGGGCGCUGUUGCCAUGGCAGCGUGCCUCCGCCGGCUGCACACACACCGCCACCGAGACGCUGAAGCGCUCGGACUCUCGUGGCGUCAGCGGCGCUGAUUCACGUUUCUUAAAGUUAAUGGAUCAGUUCAGACGUCAAGAUGGCCGCCGUCAGGGAAACGGCAGCAGGAGAGAGAGAGCAAAUGUUCAGGCUGGACUAUAUUUAGCUACAAACAGGCAGAACCCGGCCAGAAAACCCAAAAUAUCAGCUUCACAAAGUCUGAAAUGAUUCAACAGGAAUGUAUCAUAACUGAGAAAUAUCAAAACACAAACUGAGCAGGAAAGUAGAAACUCUGAACGCAGCGAUCCACUUUUACCUCUUCUGGUACCUGAGCAUCGGACAGAACCGAUCAGAACAGCUGAACUGAUUUUAAAUGUUUCUUUUAUUAAACUGGAACAUAAAUAAACUGAAUUACUAAUUUAUUUAAUAAAUCUGCAUCAGUGAACAAUUAAUUACAAGCUAUUGAUUAAAAACAUGUCAAACUUU